AGUCACCUCACAUGGUUCACAUUUUUUGGCUUCCAGGGACAAUUUUCUCAGUAUUUUUCCUCAACAAUUUUCAAUGAUUGGUGCACAAUUUUCUCACAUCCCCAUCUCCAGUCUAAAGGCCAGUGCUACACAUAAAAGGGUUUUGUUAUGUCAGAUCUAUGUUCUUUAGACCCAACCUCUGUAUCCCUUUACUAAAGUCAUGAGCCACAAGCCCUCACUAGUAUAAACAAUAAACAUCCAUGUUGUGUCACGGGUGUAGGAGUUGGCUUUGUGACUCUGUCCCUUUGAGCUGGGAACAGCUGAUAUUAAAGGUCAUGUUUUACUUGAGAGCUUCAAAGAGCUUGAGACUUUGGACUCUGACUUCAGGUAAUCAAUCACCAAGAAAUGCCACAGUGUCCCAGCAUGCUCAGGCAGAAGAAGAUAAUAAUUAAGCCCAUCUGCAUUGUCUUUCACUGUCUUUGGGAAUUUAUGAAAUAAGACAGAAGAAUAGACCUCCGAAAAUCUCCAUUCUAAACGUGGUAUGAUAUUUACGUCUUGUGAAUUUAAAUAAAAUUCACGCUACUGACACGACUGCCCCAGUGCAGAGCUGUUAGUUUACAAUAUCACACUCAGGUUGCAACGUCCCCAGGUGGCAGGAUGGAGCCGGAUGGGCGAUUCUGCUCAGUUGCAGGAAUGUAACUCCCAGAGCUGGUGUAGCCCACUUUUAUAUAACAGAAAGAGGUACAGUUUCUAUCUAUCUCAGCGUAUUGCCAGAGAGGCUGUGAAGAUAAGAGGUUAGGAACGGUGAAAGUUUGGAUAUCUCUGUGGUGUGUAUGGUCAUUAUGAUUUGAAUAAUUCUAACCCUCUGAAAUUAAAGACACCCAAGGCUAGGUACAGUGGCCUAUGCCUAGUACCUAAAAUCCCAGCACUUUGAGAGGUCAGCCAGGAAGGAUUGCUUAAGGCCAAGAGGUUGAGACCAGCCUGGGCAACAUAGCAGGACCCUGUCUCUGCAAAACAAAACAAACAAACAAACAAACAAACACAAAUCAUACAUUGUUUUAAAAUCACAUUUUAUGCACAGCUACAUAUAUCUUCCUUGAUGGGUUCUUUCUGUGUGACAAUUCAGUGUCUAUGAAUGGAAAUUUGCUUAAGGACG
rnacentral:lncRNA from 1 species